rnacentral:rRNA from 1 species
UACGUAGGGGGCUAGCGUUGUCCGGAUUUAUUGGGCGUAAAGAGCGUGUAGGCGGCCAGGUAGGUCUGGUGUGAAAACUCGAGGCUUAACCUCGAGAUGUCAUCGGAAACCAUCUGGCUAGAGUCCGGAAGAGGAGAGUGGAAAUUCCUGGUGUAGCGGUGAAAUGCGCAGAUAUCAGGAAGAAUAUCCGUGGCGAAGGCGGCUCUCUGGGACGGUACU